GAGCCCUGUAGCCUUGCUGCAGCAAGCCCCCAUCUCGCAGUCUCUCUGUGAGGACCAAGAGAGGAUUGGUGUGGAGGAGAUUAUUUGGGGGUGUUUUCAUUUCUCUGUGGAUUUUGUAGAAAGAAAUCAUCAUCUGUGUAGAAGCACAAUGGACUAGACACUCAGUUGGUAUCAGUCACCGUAGUUCUGCUGAUGCUGAUGGAUCCGUGACAACUGACGCCAGUUCAAGUAUCUGAAAAUCCCCCCUAGCAAGAAGCACG